rnacentral:rRNA from 1 species
AGAGUUUGAUCCUGGCUCAGGAUGAACGCUGGCGGCGUGCCUAAUACAUGCAAGUCGAGCGAAUGGAUUGAGAGCUUGCUCUCAAGAAGUUAGCGGCGGACGGGUGAGUAACACGUGGGUAACCUGCCCAUAAGACUGGGAUAACUCCGGGAAACCGGGGCUAAUACCGGAUAACAUUUUGAACUGCAUGGUUCGAAAUUGAAAGGCGGCUUCGGCUGUCACUUAUGGAUGGACCCGCGUCGCAUUAGCUAGUUGGUGAGGUAACGGCUCACCAAGGCAACGAUGCGUAGCCGACCUGAGAGGGUGAUCGGCCACACUGGGACUGAGACACGGCCCAGACUCCUACGGGAGGCAGCAGUAGGGAAUCUUCCGCAAUGGACGAAAGUCUGACGGAGCAACGCCGCGUGAGUGAUGAAGGCUUUCGGGUCGUAAAACUCUGUUGUUAGGGAAGAACAAGUGCUAGUUGAAUAAGCUGGCACCUUGACGGUACCUAACC